rnacentral:lncRNA from 1 species
GAUGUGUGAUAUUGCGGCUGUUAAUCUAAAAUAUUAAAGAAAUCGGCUAAUUCCCUUAUUUUAUUUUGGGAGCAUAUCUUUCCAUAUACUAAGUAGAUAUGGUACGUUACCUUCUCUCACACAAUACCAUGUAUGCCCUUUUCGAUUUAAUUAACUUUAAUAAACUAAGAAUUAUUAUGACCGUGAGAUCAUUGAGAUUAACGCUUAUGAUGUAUUCUUUAUUCUUCCUACAUUUAGCUUUCUUUUUUGAUCCCUUCCCAUGUUUGUUAGUGUAAGAUUUUGUUUGUGCUAAUUGAAUGUGUGAAUAUGAUGUGGGGUUGUCUAUGAACAUAGUGUUUGUGAAUAUAAUAUGCGUUAUUCAUGUCUAACGUCGACAAUGAAUAUGGUAAGAGUUGGA